rnacentral:misc_RNA from 1 species
UUUCCGUAGGUGAACCUGCGGAAGGAUCAUUACCGAGUGAGGGCCCUCUGGGACCAACCUCCCACCCGUGUUUAUCGUACCUUGUUGCUUCGGCGGGCCCGCCUUACGGCCGCCGGGGGGCACCCGCCCCCGGGCCCGCGCCCGCCGAAGACACCAUUGAACGCUGUCUGAAGAUUGCAGUCUGAGCAUCUUAGCUAAAUCAGUUAAAACUUUCAACAACGGAUCUCUUGGUUCCG